CAGCACGCUCCACUGGGUCCUGUGAAAGGAUGCCCAGUUAGUGUGAAAGGCUGCCUGAGGGUCCCAGUGCACAUGUGUGUGGAUCCACUGGCCCACUAUGCCACGACACCACCACUAAGAUUCACGUUUUGGAUUCUGGUCACAAACCCUCAUAAGAUUUUCAGCCACACUCCAGGGAGUAUCACCAACCGCACUGACCUGCCUGCCUUCCUUCCAUCACCACCCACGCGAGUCCUGGAAUACUCAGGUCAGACCUUCUUAACACUCCUCUGCCAGUCACUCGGACCUCUGCCUCCCCCUCCAAGCCUCAGCCUCCUCCUGCCCAAGUUCAAGGACGUUGCACUCCGUGACAGCACAGAGGAAAAACUACCACGCCAUGCCUCAACAUUUUUUUUUCUCCUAUUAUUAAGUGUCCUAUUUCAUAAAACAUUUCUCUACCUUUUGCAAUGAAGUGAGGGA
ensembl:lncRNA